rnacentral:lncRNA from 9 species
AUGCUCCUGUGGCAGGAGCCUGAACUGAGUCCACACACUGAACUCACAGACCUGCAGGAGGAGAUGGAAGAAAGAAAAUCAACAGGUUUUGAGGAUGAGAAGAACCCAAGUAAUGGCAGAGGAGGUGCUUUGCAAGAGAGCUGCAUGGCCUUUCCUGGCUCCAUGGCCCUGAUUCCAGCCAGAUUCGAGGCUCUCAGGGUGCAGAUGACACCCAGACUCCAUGUUGCCUUAAAGCAGUCCACACUGCCCAGGUCUCCAGAGAAAACCGCAAAGAUCUGUAACUCCGACUAUGUCUUGGGGAAGUGGAGAAAUAAUGAGGCAAGUUUAGUAUGUCUUCUAGGGUCAUACCUGUCAUGAUGACUGGUGAUUUUUGGUUUUCUCUCUGAGAAGUUAAAUACUUUCCACACGUGCAGAUUCUCUCCCUAUUGAGCUCCAUGAAAGCAUUCAGUGCGCCCUUGUGCGAGAUGUGUUGUGCUGAUUCCCUUGCGGGGGAUGGAAGGGGAGGGUGGGAAUCCUUCCUGAAAAGAGUGUGAAGAUGGCAUUUCCCAGCUCAGCCUGGGUGUCUGUAGGCGAGAACAUCAAUGGCAGAAACCACCAGGCUCCUCCUGGUGAAAGGAGAGGUAUAAACAGGAGCAGUGACAGUGCCUGGCUUUUGCUUCCUGA